rnacentral:lncRNA from 1 species
UUGAAACUGAAACACAAGGAAUGGAACUUGGACAAGGAAUUGAAUGAGGAGGAGAACAAGCACAGAUCCAAACCCUGAUCCUUACCCAGCCACAUGCCAUGGAAGAAGCGGUCCAACAAAAACGGCCUAGACAUAGCCGUGGUGUUCGUGGUUAUGAGUGUUCUUCUAAUAUUUGGGUGUUGGAUCGUCUCUGAAUAAAGCCUGCAAGGCAUUUUUAUUUUUAACAGUUUGCUAGAGAAGAGACAAAACAUUUUGAUGCUCUGG